rnacentral:pre_miRNA from 1 species
CAAAUACUCCCUCCGUCCAGAAAUACUUGUCAUCAAAAUGGAUAAAAGGAAAUGUAUCUAGACGUAUUUUAGUUUUAGAUACAUCUCUUUUUAUCCAUUUUGAUGACAAGUAUUUUCAGACGGAGGGAGUAGAAA